rnacentral:rRNA from 1 species
CGAGCGAACAGACGAGGAGCUUGCUCCUCUGACGUUAGCGGCGGACGGGUGAGUAACACGUGGAUAACCUACCUAUAAGACUGGGAUAACUUCGGGAAACCGGAGCUAAUACCGGGUAAUAUAUUGAACCGCAUGGUUCAAUAGUGAAAGACGGUUUUGCUGUCACUUAUAGAUGGAUCCGCGCCGCAUUAGCUAGUUGGUAAGGUAACGGCUUACCAAGGCGACGAUGCGUAGCCGACCUGAGAGGGUGAUCGGCCACACUGGAACUGAGACACGGUCCAGACUCCUACGGGAGGCAGCAGUAGGGAAUCUUCCGCAAUGGGCGAAAGCCUGACGGAGCAACGCCGCGUGAGUGAUGAAGGUCUUCGGAUCGUAAAACUCUGUUAUUAGGGAAGAACAAAUGUGUAAGUAACUAUGCACGUCUUGACGGUACCUAAUCAGAAAGCCACGGCUAACUACGUGCCAGCAGCCGCGGUAAUACGUAGGUGGCAAGCGUUAUCCGGAAUUAUUGGGCGUAAAGCGCGCGUAGGCGGUUUUUUAAGUCUGAUGUGAAAGCCCACGGCUCAACCGUGGAGGGUCAUUGGAAACUGGAAAACUUGAGUGCAGAAGA